UCUGUCUAAAUCCCGGACCGAGGAUUAGCGGCGUGUAAUUUGGGUUGCCUAUAUAAACUUGAAUCGCGAAAUGGACCAAAAAAUAUUACAACUGUACAACAAUGAGGUUAUGUAAUUUAGAAAAUCUAAAAACAAUAAACACAAAUACACGCUUUUUGUUUCCAGAUCAGUUUAUCAAAGAUCUAGAGAAACAUGUAAAAGAUGAAUUUGCCAAAUAGGAAUUUGGCAAAAAUCCUUUUGGAACUUCACUCCAUGAAUACUGGCACUGUUGGGGGACACUACCAUUGAUUUGAAUGGAGAUGUGGAGUUUCAGGAAAUUGUGUCACAAUUUCCUAUCACUAAUGUGGAUAUCCUCAAUGAUGUUAAUGAGUGGAGAGGGACCAGCAGUGUUAUAAAAAAGUAGUCCUAUUUUUGAAAACCAUUGGAGGGAUAACCCUGAAGGUUAUUAAAAAGGGUGUUCGCCAAUCAAUUAAUUGCCCAAGCCAGCAGGCUGGGGCACAGUUGUGGCGGAAAAAAAAAUUGCAAGCUUAGCAACUUAAAAUUGAUUUCUGCCAUUAAAGAUGCUGUACAUACUGAUGAAUGGUAUUCUGAGAAAAAAUUUGAAACUAUUGCAGCGGAUUGGACCCGUCAAGGAAAACAGCGCCACCAAAGGGAGAGGCAGAAUAAAUAAGUGACUUAAUUUUUCCCAACAUUUUAUUAUA